CAAAUUAAACUUAGAGAAAGGGUUUUCAUUUACAUUGAAGAGAUUGUUGUGCAAUUCAGCAUAAUUUGA
rnacentral:tRNA from 1 species